GCGGGUGUGGCGGAAUUGGCAGACGCGCAUGGUUCAGGUCCAUGUGGGGGUUAAACCCCGUGGAGGUUCGAGUCCUCUCACCCGCA
rnacentral:tRNA from 1 species